UCUUGAUUGUCAAUUGUUUUC
ensembl:piRNA 21ur-14939 ncRNA